AGCAGCAGGCGCGAAAAUUUCGCAAUGUGGGAAACCACGACGAAGGUAUUCCAAGUGGUUACACUUUAAGUGUAAGCUGUUCUUCCGUCUAAAAAGCGGAAGGAGUAAGGGCCGGGUAAGACGGGUGCCAGCCGCCGCGGUAAUACCCGCGGCCCAAGUGGUGCUCGUUAUUAUUGAGCCUAAAGCGUUCGUAGCCGGUCUGUUAAAUCCCUGGGUAAAUCGAGCCGCUUAACGGUUCGAAUUCCGGGGAGACUGACAGACUUGGGAUCGGGAGAGCCGAGAGGUACUCCAGGGGUAGGGGUAAAAUCCUGUAAUCCUUGGGGGACCACCAGUGGCGAAGGCGUCUCGGUAGAACGAAUCCGACGGUGAGGGACGAAGCCUUGGGGAGCAAAUGGGAUUAGAUACCCCAGUAGUCCAAGGUGUAAACGCUGCAGACUUGGUGUCGGGUGUCCUACGUGGGCAUCCGGUGCCGGAGCGAAGGUGUUAAGUCUGCCGCUUGGGGAGUACGCUCGCAAGAGUGAAACUUAAAGGAAUUGGCGGGGGAGGAC
rnacentral:rRNA from 1 species